GGAUCAGUACGCUGGUCGUGCCUUCGGUAUGUACUGGUGUUACUGGUUUCUACCUUCUGAAGAACCGUCAUGUCAUUAGUUUGGUGUGGCGGGGAAUCAGGACUGUUACUUUGAAAAAAUUAGAGUGUUUAAAGCAGGCUCGCGCUUGAAUACAUUAGCAUGGAAUAAUGAAAUAGGACGGACGGUUCUAUUUUGUUGGUUAUGGGACCACCGUA
rnacentral:rRNA from 1 species